GAAUAAAGACGAAGACAAAAUGGAACCGACAAAAGAUGAUGAUGCUGAGGAAGUUCCUGAACUUCUAGAAAAAACCUCUCCUGAGGCCCACCUGCAGUCGAAGGCAGCGGUGCUGAACAGUACCCACACAGCGGCGCUGAACAGUACCCACACAGCGGCGCUCGAUGAAGUCCUCCAAACUGCUGUGGUUAAUGUGGCUGUGCCCCCACUGUCCAACACCACUGCAACAGAAUCUGACCUUUCUGAAACAAUGGACCCAAAGAGAUAAUAAAUUAUUCAAAUUGUUA